GACUCUGUAGCUCAGUGGUUAGAGCAUGCGAUUGCAGCUCUUCGGCAACAUAUGGCAGGGUCUGGUGUUCAAAUCACGGCAGGGUCU